GCAGGAUAGGUGGGAGGCGUUGAAAGUUUUCUUGCGGGAAGAUUUGAGCCAUUGGUGAGAUACCACUCUAACAAUGCUAGGAUUCUAACCCUAUGUCGUUAUCCGGCUAGGGGACAGUUUCAGGUGGUCAGUUUGACUGGGGCGGUCGCCUCCUAAAAGGUAACGGAAGCGUGCAAAGGUUCCCUCAGGCUGGUUGGAAAUCAGUCGUAGAGUGUAAAGGCAUAAGGGGGCUUGAUUGUGAGACCUACAAGUCGAACAAAGACGAAAGUCGGCCUUAGUGAUCCGGCGGUACCGAGUGGAAGGGCCGUCGCUCAACGGAUAAAAGUUACUCUAGGGAUAAC
rnacentral:rRNA from 1 species